rnacentral:rRNA from 1 species
GACGAACCGAGCGAACGUUGUUCGGAAUCACUGGGCUUAAAGGGCGCGUAGGCGGGUUUUUAAGUCCGUGGUGAAAUCCUCCGGCUCAACCGGAGAACUGCCUCGGAUACUGGGCGUCUCGAGUGUGGUAGGGGUAUGCGGAACUAUCGGUGGAGCGGUGAAAUGCGUUGAUAUCGAUAGGAACUCCGGUGGCGAAAGCGGCGUGCUGGACCUCUUCUGACGCUGAGGCGCGAAAGCUAGGGGAGCAAAAAGG